AGAUGGUUCUCUAACGGUCUCUCCUGAGGUUCUGAUAAUUUCAAACGUGUCUCAUCCUGUAUUAACAUUCAGCAUAUCUGAUGAAGAAUGUCUACCGGGAUAUUUUGGAAGAAAAUGCGAAAUUCCUUGCCGGUAUCCAAACUACGGUGUUCAAUGUCAGUCAAAAUGUGAAUGAAGGAGACCUGAAUAUUGUGAUCAUAUAAGAGGAUGUUUAGACUCAGAGAGAAAAUGUAACCCUUCAGAAAACCAAGGAAGAAGAAGGGCGGCAAAGUUAUAUAGCAUCAUUGUUCUUUGUAUUAUAGCGGUCUUCCAAUUUACGUUUUAUAUCUAUCUUUCAUUUUUAUACAAAAGAAAACUGUUUCUGGAUCGUCAUCAAAUGUAACAAUAUAAAUCUAUAUAGCAGCUACAGAUAUAAAUACAUACCUUUUAUGAAACCAAAAAUGAAAUUAGAUAUUUUGUUUCUUUAAAUUUGUAUGCCUUUCAAUAGUUUGUUAACCCAUUCCCCACAGUUACGCAUUUUUACGCAAUUACCAUUUCCUAUUUCUGACACAAAAUCGUGCAUAUACCAUUCCAAGCAAUCAUGCAUUUUUCAAGCACUUUCAAGAGUAAUUUUAAUCUUCAAUUGAAUGCCUUUUUCCUUCUUUUUUAUAUUUGCUAAAAUCUCAUAAUAUAAGAAAAGUUAUAAACUAAUUAGAAUAGUAUUUUAUAUUUAUUUACGCUUCUAUCGCGCUUUAAAGUGUCUACUCGGAAAAGGUAAAGUUAUACUUCGAUGACGUGAACAUUAAGCGAAUGUUGUCUCAGAGUUCAGUAAGUUGUAAAGAGUUAAACGAUAGAAGAAUUUUUCUGCAUGCAAACAGUUUGAAUAUAUGUUUUUAGUGGAGCAUGUGCACAUAUAAAAAUCUGCUUAUCAAGAAUCAAGAUAUUCUCGCAAUGUCCGAGGUCUUGAAUCAUAACGAUACCCUGGAACCCCGACUUAUUUUUAUGAAAUACUCGUAGCUUGUGGGCUGACAUAUUACGAAAAAUUACAAAUCUUGGUUGUUUUCUUUUCAACCAUUCUCGAGAGUUACGUUAAACAACAAAGAAAACCUAAGGUUUGAAAAAAUAGAAAAAGAUAAAAAUACACACAGAUGUUUUUCGAGAUGGUUUGGAUAUCAGUUUAGUGACGCAAACGAACAUUGCAAUAAAAAAAGUUACAAAUUACUUUUAAACGCACAUUUGUUGUA